GCCCAAUUGAACUCACAACCCAAUACAUUACCUAAAUCCCUUAACUAUUCCUAAAUACUAACCCAAACCCCAAAUACAUUUUAAACCCAUCAGCCCACUUAUAUCAAACCCAAUACAAUAAACCCAAAACCCAAUAACCCUUAGCCCAACCAGAAAAGAACAAACCCUAGCUCCUACUUGCCCCCUCACUCAGCGCCGCAACUACCCUCCCCACCUUCUGACACCACGCCACCGACGUCAGCCCACCGGCCACCAACUCUGCAGCACUGUUCAACCACCCUGCAAGCAGAAUGACAAGACAUAAAUUAUAAAGAAACUUUACAGAGGGUUAUAAAAAACCGAAUGAAAAUUGUAAUAGGGGGAAUUUUGCUAUCAAUACAAAAAGGGAAUUUUUUGUUUUCAUCAAUACUAGCAGAUUAAAACCAAAAGCAGUGGUCUCAAUAAGAUAAAAGUAAGAAAAAAGCAUUGAGCACAAACCCAAAAUCUCAGAAAACCGAAACUGAAAGCUAAAGGUAACUUCUUUUCUUUUUUCUUUUUAGCCGAAUCCUCCAUCUAUAUUCGUAUACACAUAAAUAUAUAAUAAAUAGGAAAUGAACAGUACUUCUUAAAAAGGUAAAAAAAGGAAAAGAAAAAAAGGGGAAGUUUUCAUACCUCCGACCACUGUGCAUGGCGGUCGCCGGCGACGGAAGCGCGGUGGGGCAAUGACCGGACUAGGACCGGCGCUGGAGCCCCAGCAGAGAAAAAAUGAGCUCCAUUUUCUUUUUUUUUUCUUCAACACGCACAAAUGACUGAUUUUUCAAAAAAAUUUAACUUUUAUAGGGGUCCGGAACGGCGUCAUUUUAGGCCCUGCACUUGAGCACUGAAACGACGUCAUUUCACUUGGCCCGACCAGAUUCGACCCGAACCCGCUUCAGGAUCCACGUGUUUUUAACUCAAGGGGCUAUUUGCGCAAUCGAUCCUUCCGCAUUUUUGGUAUUUUAAAUCAAGUUUAUAUGUAUUUAUAAAUUGGCCCUAAAAUUUAAUCUGGUUUGUAAAUUAAUCCCUCCUACUGCGCAGCGCUUUGAAAAAUUCGUAAUAUUGCGUUUUUGAUCCUCCUUAGUGUUGCCCGUGUUCAAAUAGGGCCUUUCUCAUUAUUUUCUUUUUAAAUCUGCCCCACAACUUUAUUUUUAAUUUAAUUUUAGUCAUUUUUUCGUUUAUUUUCAUUUCUUCGUUAAAUAUUCUUGUUUUUUUUAUAUAUUAUUAUUAUUAUUAUUAUUAUUAUUAUGAUAUGUUAGUGUAUACUCUUAUUAUAUGCAUAUAUAUACAUGUAUUUGUAUUUAGUAUUUUUUUAUCCACUUUAUUGUAAUAUUUUAUUAAUGCUUUUAUAUUUCAAUAAUAUUAUUAUUAUCAUUAUUAUUAUCAAUAUUUGUAUAUGGUUUUAGUAUAUAGGUAUAUAUAUAUUUUUACGUAUAGGUUAGUUUUUAUUAUUUUAUUUCAAUAUCUUUUUUUUUGUAUUUGUUGUCGUAUUUCAAUAUUACCCUUAUUAUUAUUAUUAUUAUUAUAUAAUGUUUAUUUUUGUUUAUGUAUUUAGAUUUAAAUAUGUAUUAUUCUUACUAUAUUGUAUUGUCAUUUUUUUGUAUUUUAAUACUAUUACUAUUAUAAUUAUUAUUGUUAAUAUAGUGAAUGGUUUUUGUCAUAUGUGUAUAUAUUUUUAUGUCAUCCUUCUUAUUAUCAUUAACCUUAGUAUAUGUCUUUUUAUAUAUCUUUAAUAUAUAUAUAUAAGUACAUAUUCAUGCAAUAGUGUAAUAGUUUUCUUCAACGUCAUUAUUUCCAAUAUAUAUAUUUUAUGUAAAUAUUUUAGUGUCGUAUUAUAUAUGUAUUUUUUUAUGUAUUGCGUGUGCGUACUUUUAAUAUUGUAUUUCUACAUUUCAUACGAAUACUAUAUUACAUUUUUACAUAUUAUAUCGUGUAUAUAUAUUUUUCAUAUAUAUUAUGUACAUACGUUUUCAAUAUUCAUUUUAUACGUAUAUAUGUAUAUAUUAUGUAUAUACUUUAACAUUACUAGUUACUUAUAUAUGUUUUUAUCACUUCAUGUAUAUUUCAAAUAGUAUAUAUAUAGUAUAUUUCUAACAUUAUUACUAAUUAUAUUUAUAUAUGUAUAAGUAUAUAUUAUGUACAUACUUUUAAUGUCAUUUUACAUAUGUAUAUUCAUCAUGUUCUCGUAUUUGAUAUUAUAAUUAUAUUUAAUCUUGCAUGCAUUGUUAGAGUUUUUAAUAUUAUUGUCUUAUUUGUUAUUUGCUCCAAUAUAUUUCUAGUUCUUCCAUUUAUUUUUUUUAUUUCAUCUCAAUUUUUCUUUGCAUUACUUCGAAGAUCAUAUUCUUGUUUCCUAAUUAAUAAUCAAGGUAACGAACCGAUUUAACACAAAGUCACUGAUUUCAUCGCUAUGUUGGGUGAACAUCAAUCGAUUCGUGUUAAAACGGUACGUCCUUCUCAAAAAAAAUCAAAAAGAUUGAAAAUUCUUGUCUUUUCAAACGAAUCACGAUUAAAUCUUAUAUUGAACUCGUAUUUUUGAAAAUCAAGACAACAUGUGUUUACAAGAUACCAAUUUUGGGCGUCGCGAGGGUGCUAAUACCUUCCUCGCGCGUAACCGACUCCCGAACCCUAAUUUUUCUCUGGAUUUUAACGUAGAACUAAACUCAGCCUUUAAUUUGUUUUGAUAAGAGAUCUAAUAGGUGUCCAAUCACACCUAGGAAAAAGGAUCGGUGGCGACUCCUUGUUUAUUUCAAAAAACCAAACGUCAAAUUUCAAAUUUUUAAUAAAUCGCCACAAUUAGCGACCAAGCUAAGCCAAAAUUUUUACGUCGCUACAGCUGGCGACUCCAGUAGGGAUCCGCAUUUUUGAGAGUCAAGUCGAAUUAAACGCAUGUUGUCAAAAUUUUCAAAAUUCCUUGUUCAAAUUAAUAUUUAGUUGUGAUCCUAAAAUUGUGUUUUUGAAAAAUCAUGCAUUUGCAUUGUGUUGUAUAUAUUCUUCUAACUUGUUUUGUCCGGUUGUUUUAAAGCUUUAAAUUCUUAUGGUUUUAGUUUUGGUUUAGUUUUUAAAUAAAACGUAAAGGUUUGUGAGUUUCUCCCCACACACCGUGCACGUACAUUCUUGCAUAACAUGAGCUCUAUACCCGGGCUCCGUCCGUUUAAGUAAAAGUAAACGCUAUGCCUUCGUGAGUUAACUCGUCCCUCCGCAUAGGCUAGUGAAUACUUUCGGGUUACAUAUGACUUAUGCUUUCAUGAGUUAACUUGUCCCUCCGCAUAGGCAUAAGUAAAUGUAAUCCCUCGAAUUGAACUCGUGAGCCUGUGAUGGGUUACGAUCAAGGCUUCGUACUAAUCUUAGUAGAUGAUAGUACGGACAAUUCGAGUACCUAUCUAGAACCGAAACCGCAUAUAGUGAACCGUACGAGCCACCUAGUUAGAGCCAUGCCGAACCUCCGCCCAUUAAUAGUCAUUGAAAUAAGUACAUGGGAGAAACGCCUCUUCCCUUUUAUUUCUUUGACACUUACACUUUCUAUUUUGAUUUUCCAUAAUUCAUGUUUAUUGUACUAAUGAAGAUAUUUGUCUGUGUUCUUAUUUUGCAUCAUGCAUUAUAGGCAUCAUAUUAGGAAGGUGUUGACUAGAGAUUGUUUUCCAAAAAAUGGGUUUCUAAUGGAAGAGUCAAUUAUACAAAGAACCGAGAAGAAUGCCGUGGUUCAGGAUUGGUCUAUAAAAACUCAGAAAGAAAAAGGGGAUAGUUUAGUGGAGGGAUGUAUUGCCAAUCUGCCCAAGCAUGUAAUCGUGAAUGUUCGCCAGAAUAACCUUAAAGAUUUGGUUCGGGUUUGGAAUCAGUGAGAUUCGGACACUAGGGGUAUCUUCACCGAGAGAUAUGGAGACAUAGCCAAUUUAAUUACCGUCAACAUAGACGAACGAUUGAUCCAAGCCAUGGUCAGAUUUUGGGAUCCGGCUUAUCAAUGUUUUACCUUCAAUCAAGAAGAUAUGACUCCGACUAUAGAGGAGUACGUUGCUUUGCUUCGUGUUGAAAAUGCGCAAUUCUAUAAAGUAUAUGUGAAGGAGCCUAAGCCAAUAACCUUUAAGAAGAAGUUAGUAAGAUUGACAGACAUGACUGACGCAUGGGUCAAAAAACAGAUAAAGAAGAAGAAUGAAACCAUUUGCAUUCCAUGGUCUUCCCUACGAGAAUUGGUUCUGAACUAUCCUGACAUGUUGAAAAGGGUAAAUCUGUUCGCUUUGGCUAUUUACGGCUUGAUCAUCUUCCCGAAAGUCCUUGGACACAUAGAAGUUGCGGUGGUGGAUUUUUUAAAAAAAUUAAAACAAGGAAUCAACCCUGUCUCAACUAUCCUAGUCGAGACCUUCAGAUCCUUAAACAAUUGUAGGAAAAUAGGGAAAUGACGCUUUAUCGGAUGCGCGCAGUUACUAAAUAUCUGGAUUUUGAGUCACUUCUGGAAAGUAGAGCGCACACCGUUCCAUAUGUUUUCAAAAACAUUUGCCCCGUUGGAAGCUUAUCUCAAGAAAGAAUGGCCAAAGGAAGUCAUUGAACAGCAUUGGGUCUCAGUUUUUCAGAACCUUCACGCCAAGGAUAUAACGUGGAGAGCACUGUGGAUCCGCGCUUCGGUUCUAUUAUACAAGGUUAGAAAUCAAGAUUGGGUACCACUACUCGGGUUAUGGGGAAGAGUUGGAUAUGCCCCGCUAUUAGUCCAAAGAUAAUUUUCUUUACGACAAUUCAUACCCGCCACUGGAGGAUUAGCACAGUCCGAGUUCGCUUUUGCGGGAGAAGGGUAUAUGAAGAGGGUUCGAGACACUGCAAAGUCUUGGAAGAAAAUUCAUUUGAUGGAAUUGGCUCUAUAUGCUGAUACCCUUACCCAAGAUUACGACAUCUGAAGGAAGCAACGGGUGAAUAGUUAGCAAAUCUCGUCAAUAAACUACACCGUCCAGAAUCCUUUCUUAGAGGAAAUGCCGUCUGAGCUAGAAAUGGUAAGACAAGAAUUUGAACAAGAAAAGGCCAAGAUGUCUCGGGACCUUAGUGCUCUUCAAGAGGAAAACUACCAAUUGAAGAUCGAUGUUCAGAUUGAAAGAUCCAGAACCGAGAAAGUGCAAAAAGAGGCUGAAGUCGUAAGAAAUGACUUAAGAGAUCUUUAUCUGGAAAAUAAGAAGUUAAGAAGCACAAUAAAGAAUAGUGGGCUGGGCAAGUCGUCGGCAGAAUGGAAGGAAGAAAUAAGCAACAUAUUAAAGGCGGGAUGGAAUUUUGGAAAGGAAAAGCGAAGAAAGAGGAGGAAAAGGCUGUGCGAGCUAUUAUGGAGCUAAGGAAGAAGAACACCGAAUAUGAAGCUAUGUCUAUCGAGGUAAUGACUAGUCGAUCUAAACGUCAAGAACUAAAAGAGAGGAUACGAUAGUUAGAAGAUAUGCUGCAAGAUCGUCAACAACAGCUAGAUACCCUCUUGAAGGCUUUGGAAGAAAAAGAUAGUCAGUAUGAUAGAGACAUUCGUGCUUACGAAGAAGGCCUUCAAGAAAAAGAAAUGCAACUUAACUUUUUGAUAAAUGAAAUUCGUGGGGUAGCCAUGCACGUGGUACAACUAUCGGAAGAAGCUGAAAUUCUCACUUGCCAAUUCCCUCCAAGUCAAAAAUCAAAUAUAUCAGAGUUCUUAGUACGAGUAAAGAAAUACGGUGAUAUAGCUAGGAAGUUUGUGUAAUGGUUGAAUCGAAAAUGGAAAAAUAUUUUGUAAUGAACUCUUUUGAUGAAUGAAAUGCCUAAAUAGGGGCUAUCUUGAAAUCAACACCCAUUUCUUGCAUAUCUUUCAUGAUUGACAUUCAUUUAUGCAUUCAUUCAUUCAUUACAUAUAUCUAUCCCAUAAUCAUUUGCUAAGGUUAGAAUCAUAUAAUUCGCAGUCACAACACUUCAAAUCUAGAAUCACGCCAUUCGUAUAGAACGCGUCGACAAGCUAGGGCAAUGGAGGCUGAAUUCAAUGAAAGAAUUGAAAGGAUGGAAAGAGUUCAGAGGGAAUUACAAGAGCAGUUGGCCAAGUCACAGCAAGAGACAAGAGACUUGAUGGUGAGGUCUCGAGAAGAAUCGCUUGAACAAAGAGACCAAAUGGCCAAGAUGAUGGAAAUGAUGUCAGCUUUAGUUAAAGAAAAGGGACCCAUGCAGAGCCCUGACAUCGAGGAACCUCGGUCAAUAGUUAAUCACAGUCAAGAUCCGCUCUAUCCCCCAGGAUUCACUUCGCCACAUGCCCACGCAACACAAAAAGGAUACACCCAAGAGGAACCCACAGACCUGAAGCAACGGGCGGUGCCACCUGUUCACACAGGGCAAGGAGUAUUCGUAUUAAACCUAGGAGCUAGUUCUGCUGAUCCACUCAUUCCAGAUUUGGACGAUCCAGCAGAAAUAGCCAAGUUGAAAAUCAUUGAUCACGAGGUUCAAGAGAAGUAUAGGAGCUUAGAAGAAAGACUUAACGCAAUAGAGGGUACUGAAGCCUUCUCUGCACUGAGUGCCAAGGAGCUCAGUUUGGUGCUCAAUCUGGUUCUGCCUCCGAAAUUUAAAGUACCAGAUUUCAAAAAAUACGAUGGCACGAGAUGUCCAAAGACGCAUCUUAUCAUGUUUUUCCGGAAAAUGUCUGGUUACGUGAAUGAAGACAAGCUAAUCAUACAUUGCUUUCAAGAUAGUCUAGUAGGAUCGGCUCUUCGGUGGUAUAACCAGCUUAGUAGGGAAAAAAUCCGAUCCUGAACGGACUUGGCAUCAGCAUUCUGUGAGCAGUACAAGCAUGUACCAGAUAUGGUGCCUGAUCGAAUGACCCUACAAAUGAUGGAAAAGAAACCAGCAGAAACCUUUAGACAGUGCGCGUAAAGAUGGAGGGACGUCUCGGCCCAAGUGGAACCCCCACUAACAAAGACUAAGAUAACCGUUCUCUUCAUCAACACUUUAAAAGUACCAUUCUAUGACAAGCUGGUGGGAAGUGCCACAAAGGACUUUACGGAUAUUGUAAUAUCCGGUGAGCUUAUAGAGAAUGCCGUCAAGAGCGGUAGAAUAAAAGGUCAAGAAAGUUCAAGAAGGGUAGCGCCCAUGAAUAAGAAAGAACCAGAAGCCCAUAUGAUGGGAAUGGAAAAUCGUUAUACCUCUAAUCCAUAUCCAAACCAUCCCCGACCUCGAAAUUAUCCUCCUCCAAAUCAGACCCCUUACUACCAAGCACCACCUCCUUCCUACCCCGUAUACGCCAUGAACAACCAAAGGCCCGUCACCACAUUCCCAUAAAACACUCUACCCGCUCAAAGCCAACCCAGAAAUGAACCAAGACUAACAAGACCCAAUCCCGAAAGACCGCAAUUCACCCCUAUUCCUGUGUCAUAUGGGGAACUGUACCCGAAACUCCUGAAGAAACAAUUAAUAUCUCCCCAUUACAUGGCACCCCUAAAACCUCCAUACCCGAAAUGGUACAAUCCAAAUGCUAGUUGUGCAUACUGUACAAGCCCAAUUUUGGGCCCAAAUAAACAUAACCCAACUAUAAACCCAAAACUUAGCCCAAAACACUAACCCAACCCAAAAAAAUCAAAAAAAUAAAAACCCUAAUCCCACCUACUCCACAACCUUGGCCACCUACUCUACCACCCUUGUUGGCCACCCACAUUGGCCACCUAAACCACCCACCUUGGCCACCUAAACCACCCCAACCACUCCACUUGCUUACAAAAAAAUUAUUGGUAAAAUUUGGCUAUAAAAGCCAUUCAAGACUAUGUUAGAGAGAGAGGUUUUUUUUGUUUUUUGGAGGUUUUUUUUUGUUUUUUUGGAAAGAAGGUUGGUUUUUGUUUUUUGGAAAGGCUAGUUCUUGGAGAUUAAUCAAAGAUCAAAGCAAAAGAGGUUUCUUUUGUCUAUUCUCAUCUUAAGUUCUUUGUUUGUUUAUUGUUUUCCUUUCAAUUUUAUUUUGUUUUUUUAUACGAAAGUAAAAAUAAAAGUAAGAAGCUUACCCUUAUUUUCAUUACCGAAAAAGGUUUUUUUUUUAGGUUCGGCCGCCGUGUACGGUGGCGCCGAUGGCGGCCCGUGGGGGUCCGUGACCGAAGCAAAGCUGGACCAAUGGCCGGAUUUAGAAAAGAGGGAGAAAGAGAGUUGAGAGCUUUGUUUUAUUUUUUAUUUUAUUUUAUUAUUUUUACUAUUAUUUAUAUUAUUAUUAUUUCUCAUGUAUAUAUUAUUAUUUAUAUUAUUAUUAUAUUAUAUAUGCCCUCUCCAUAUUUAUUUAUAUUAUUACUAUCAUUAUGGUUACUUCUAUUAUUUUUUAUUUCUGACUACUAUUAUUAUAUAUAUAUAUAUGUAUUAUUGUUUGUAUUAGUAUUAUUAUUAUCACCCCUAUUGUUAUUACUUUACUUUUGUAUUCUAAUAUAUUAUUAAUAUUACUCAUAUUUUCAUUAUUUUUGCUAUUACUAUUAUUAUUAUUAUAUAUUAGUGUAUAUUUUUAUGUGUAUAUAUAUAUUUAUAUAUAGUAUUAUUUUUUAUUACUUUAAUUUAAUAUUUUUAUUAUAUUUGCUUUUUGUAUUUCUCUAUUUAUUAUUAUUAUAUAGUAGUGUGUAUUUCUAUUAUAUACAUAUAUAUAUAUAUUUAUAUAUAGUAUUAUUAUUUAGUUUACUUUAAUAUUAUUCUUAUUAUCAUUAUAUCCAACCCAAUAAUAAUUCUUUCAUAAAAGUAAUAUAAAAGUAAUAUUCCGUAUUUGGUAAUUCGAGACAAUCGUGCCCUAACUUACUGAGUUUCGAUUUUCUCCUUUAACCUAAAUAACGGAAUACUCUUUUAAAUCGCGACAUGAGUUUUGAAAAAUGGUUAUUCUCGGAGAUACGAGGUGUUGUGCCCUAACUUACUGGGUAUGGCAUUUUGUUACCUCGAAAUAAGAUUUUUGCAAGUAAAGGCAAUAUUCGGUGUUUGGGAAUUCGAGGGAACGUGCCCUAACUUACUGGGUUUCGAUUUUCCUCGUUCACCUUAACUAACUGAAUAACCUUUUGAAAUACACGAACUUUUAUAUAAAAGGCAAGCUCGCUCUCGAAAAUUCAAGAUGUCGUGUCCUAACUUACUGGAUGUGACAUUUUAUAUUGUGAGACGAGAAGGUCCUUAACAUUUGAGCAUUUUCUUUACAAAGAGGGAUCGUAUUUUAAAUUCUUUCAAGUUUUCAAAUUUUCGACACUAAGACACUAAUUAAUCAACUAGGUACCAAUUUUGGGCGUAUCGAGGGUGCUAAUCCUUCCUCGUGCGUAACCGACUCCCGAACUCAUUUUCUGAUUUUCGUAGACCAAAAAUUAUCGUUUUAGUAAAUCUUAACUUUUAUUAAAAUGAUUAAUUUAAGGUGAUCCGAUCACACCUCAUCAAAAAAGAUUGGUGGCGACUCCUCUAUUCGUUUUCAUUUCCAAAAAUCUAAGUCGAUUCCCGUUUUUUUCAAAAAAAAUGGUUACGACAGCUUGGCGACUCCACUGGGGACUUUUAUAAGAGAGUCAAGCCACAAGUUGAUUAACUUUUGUCUUUUUUCGAAAAUUGAGAAUUUUGUUUUGAUAUACGAUCUCUUCAUUGCGUUUCACCCGUUUUUCGUACUAUUUUCAUCAUUUUAUUCCAAUUUUCUUUAAUCGUUUCAAGUUUUUAUGCAUAUAUCUUCUUGCAUUGCAUUGCAUGACCGUUGUGGUCACACCCUUAAGUGGGAGUGAGAAACUACGCCUUCGUGAGGUUUUCACCUCCGUGCAAGAUAGUGGAUCACUUUCGGAAUACAUCCGUACCUAUGGUUUCGUGAGAUUUUCAUCUCCGUGUAGCCAUAGGAAAAUGUAUUCUCCUGAAUUGAACUCGAUUCAAAUGAGCCUAUAAUGGGUGAGGAUCGAGGAAUAUGCUGGUUCAGGUACCCUUACUCUAGAACCAAACCACAUAUAGAGAGACCUAGGAGCCCACCCUAGGUAGAGCCACUUCGAACCCCUAGUGGUCACCUGAAUUGCUUUAUUUGUUAUUUAUUUAUCCCGCACUAACGUGUUUUAUUUUUGUUUUGUUUAUAAUUGCAUUACAUUACAUCAUCCUAGGAAGGAGGUGUUGAUUCAUAUUUGAUUGCUAAAUAGAACAGUUUGUCAUAAGAAAAUGAAUUUUUUGAUAAAGUGGAUUAUAAUACGGUUGUCUAAAUAUGAUCCAAGUGAGCACAUGAAAGAAGUCUGAUAGCCCGUGAAGAAAUACAAGACUUCGCUUCAUUGCCUGAAGACAGAAACUGACAAAGAUUAUUCGAGAGCCGUCACAUCUUGACCUUCUUAAAGGAGCUGACAAGUAUCACAGUAAUAAGUGAGCAACGAGUCGCAGCCUGGAUCGAGCAAAAAAAGGAGUUAAUAUAGACAUCUCUUGGAGAAUUCGUCAGACUCGACCAUAAGAUCAUGAUAUGAAGAGGAAGAUAGGUGUCUUCUCUUGGAAUACAAGAGAAAACCCGUAUAUGUAGUCCGUUUUAUGUAAAAGAAUUUGCUUUCUAGAAAAGUUGUUCUAAUGAAACUAAAUUUAGAAUCAAUGCCUUCCUUUUUUUUUGUGUUCAUGCAUUUGCAUUACAUUACAUCAAAGAAAAGAAUGUGUUGAUUUGAAAUUCAAUUCCUAAAUAGAAUAGUUUGUCAUAAGGAAACAAAUUUCUUGAUAAAGUAGAUUAUAGUGCGAUCGCCUGAAUAUAGUCCAAGUAAACACGAUGAGAGAAAGCUGGUAGUUUACGGAGGAAUACAUGAUGUAAUUGCCAGAGAUUCAAGCCAACAAAGGCAUGACGAGAGAAAGCUGGAAGUUCACGAAGGAAUACAUGACUUGAUUUAAUUGCCAACGAAGAUUAUCCAAGAGCCGCUACUUUUGAUGAGUAUCAUGGAGAUAAGUGAGCAAGAGAUCGAGGCUCAGAUUAAGCAGCAAGGAACUAGUAAAGGCAUCUUUUAGAGAAUUUACAGGAUUCGACCAUGAAGAAAAGAUCAACGUUUACUUGGACUAUGAAGGGCAAUACCGCAUAUGUAAUCUAUUUUCAUGUAAAGAAAUAUGUUUUCUAGAAAAGUUAUUCUAAUGGAAUUGAAUUCAAGAUCAACAUCUUCUUUUUUUUGCAUUCAUUCCAUACAUUUGCAUUACAUUGAAACAUUUGCAUUAAACUUUCACUAAAGAACCCUGAUUAAACAAAAUUAUUUCAGUUAAUCUAGAAACCAACGAGAAUCAAGCAACCGAACACACCCACUAUACCCGCCGUAAAACCAAAGCAAUGGACCAGAGAUUAGAAAGGAUAGAACAAAUGCAAAGGGAGAUGCAAGAACAAUUACAAGCACAGAUGCAAGAGCAACUGGCUAAGAUACAGUAAGAUAUGAGGGACCAUAUGUUGGAGUCCCAGAAAAGCAUGAUGGACCAAUUAACUCGUCUAUUAGCUGGUGGAUUAAAAAAAGGGAAAAGCCCUUUGAUCAAUGCGGGAGAAGAUAAUGAAGAUCCUACCUACCCUCCGGGUUUUGCCCCAGCGGACGUUCAAACACAACCUGAUGUAUACCCAAGAAGGCCAUCAGUCACAAUCAGGCCUCAACCAUCUCAAGCCGGUGUCUCGGCACAGAUAAAUUAUCAGACUGGUUCAGGCUCUAAUCCGGGGGACAAUCCAACCAACCCUGUGGUCCUCAAUCUCGAUGAAAUGAUAGAAGCAGAAAAGACAAGGGUAGAACUCCCGAGAGAGCUUGAAGAAAGAUGUAGAUGGUUGGAAGAAAAAUUUAAAGAAAUGGAAAGCACCGACUAUCGUGGUGGAAUCGACACUAAGGAAUUAAGUUUGGUUCCAGACCUGGUACUCCCUCCCAAGUUUAAAACUCCAGAAUUUGAGAAAUACAACGGGACUAGCUGUCCCGAAGCUCACAUCACUAUGUUCUGUAGACGAAUGGCAGGCUAUGUCAAUAACGACCAACUAUUGAUCCACUGUUUCCAGGAAAGUCUAGUUGGGGCCGCUUCUAGGUGGUACAACCAACUGAGUCGUAACUAGAUCAGUUCAUGGAGGGAUUUAGCACAGGCGAAGCAGUACAGUCACGUGACAGACAUGGCUACUGAUAGAGUCACGUUACAGAACAUGGAGAAGAAACAAAAUGAGAGUUUCAAGCAAUACGCCCAAAGAUGGAGAGAGGUAGCAACGCAAGUUCAACCACCUCUUCUGGAGAAAGAAACGACCAUGCUCUUUAUCAAUACGCUGAAGGCUCCAUUCAUUAACCACAUGCUAGGAAGCGCUACUAAAAGCUUCUCAGACAUAGUAAUGUUUGGAGAAAUGAUAGAGAACGCGAUAAGAUGUGGAAGGAUUGAAGCAGGGGAAAGUGCUAAGAGAUCAGCCCCGAGAAGGAAAGAGAAUGAUGUGAACAACACGAGUAUGUAUAAUAAGCCAGUCACUACGAGCCAACCAAAGGUGGUAACUACUAGCCAUCAAGGCUUCGCAAGACGAGACUUCAACCCAAUGCCUAACACGGAAAGAUUCCAGUUUACGCCCAUCCCGAUGUCCUACAAGGAAUUGUACCAGAGCUUAUUCGAUGCCCAUGUAGUGUCGCCCUUCUAUCUAAAGCCAAUGCAACCCCCAUUCCCCAAAUGGUAUGACGUAAACGCCCAAUACGAAUACCAUGCAGGAGCCACAAGGCACUCGAUAGAAAACUACACCACUUUCAAGAAACUGGUUGAAAGACUCAUCAACAUGGGCAUCGUGAAAUUUGAUAAUACACCUAGUACAGAAAACCCGUUACCUAAUCAUGGGGAUAAGGGUAUAAAUUCCAUAAUUGAGAGUUCAGGGAAGGAAAUUAAGAUGAAUGUUACAGAAGUGAAUACUCCACUAAAAGAAGUAUGGAAGAAAAUGGUGGAAAAAUGGUUGGUAACAUAGAAUUUAGGGGACAGACACCAAGAAGCAAAAAGUUAUUGCGAGUUCCAUAAUCAAGAGGACCAUGAGAUUCAGAAAUGCAGCGAAUUCAGGGCUCUAGUACAAGGGUUAAUGGAUAAUAAGGAGCUGGAAUUCUUCGAGUAUGUUAGGAACCCAGAAGGAACAGACGUGUGUGCUUCAGAGGAAGGGUCGACGAGAAAUGCUUGUAAAAUCAACCACCCAUUGGUUAUCAUAUCACGUCCGAGAAUAAAUGAAUCCGGGGCACGAGUUGCACCAAAUGUCGUAAUCCAAAAGCCCGUUGCUUUUCCUUAUGAAGAUAGCAAAAGGGUACCGUGGAACUAUAGCUGCAAUGUGACAUUCUCGGGAAAGGAGACCCCGAUUAAUGCAUCAGAGGAAGUUCAAGACGAAGGUUUUUAUACGCGCAGCGGAAGGCGUUAUACCUCAAAUAUAAAAGUCGAGCAGGUUAAAGAAAAAUCAUUAGCAAUUGAGAAAAAGAAAGAGAAGCUGACGAGGCCUAAACCAACUGUUAAUGAAUCAGUGACUGAGAAAGAAGCCAAGAAAUUCUUAAAAUUCCUAAAGCAUAGUGAAUAUAGUGUCGUAGAACAGUUGCACAAACAGCUAGCGCGUAUAUCAGUACUGGCCUUACUUUUAAGUUCCGAAACUCAUCGUAGCGCAUUGAUGAAAGUGCUGAAUGAAACUUAUGUUGCUAACGAUAUCUCUGUGAACAAACUAGACCGCUUAGUCAACAAUAUAAGUGCCAACAACUUCAUAUUCUUCAAUGACGAUGAGGUACCGCCAGGGGGUCGAGGAUCAACUAAAGCUUUGCAUAUCACGACACUAGGGGUAUUGAUUGACAAUGGGUCUGCAUUGAAUGUCCUACCCCUAUUUACGCUGAGUAGGUUGCCAGUGGAUAGUUCCCAUAUGAAGACAUGCCAAAAUGUAGUAAGGGCGUUUGACGGUACAGAAAGGAAAGUAAUGGGGAAGAUUGAAUUACCCCUUCAAAUCGGUCCUAACACGUACGAGGUAGAUUUCUUAGUAAUGGACAUCAAACCCUCUUACAAUUGCCUAUUGGGAAGACCAUGGAUCCACUCGGCAGGGGUAGUGCCGUCAUCAUUACAUCAGAAGCUCAAACUUAUAACGGAGGGUCGAUUGGUGACUAUAAACGCGGAGGAAGACAUCAUUGCAUUUGUUACCAGCAAUGCACCAUAUGUGAGGACAGAUGAUGAAGCCAUAGAAUAUUCUUUUCGAUCAUUGGAAUUUGUAAAUGCGACCUUUUUUGUCGAAGGAAAUAAAGUCCCGACACCCAGACUUUCCAAAACCACAAGAAUGGGACUACAACUGAUGGUUGGGAAGGGAGCCUUGCCAGGGAAAGGACUUGGAAGAAGCCUACAAGGAAGGGUCAAAGUACCUAUGCUCACGGACAAACGGGACUGCUUUGGCUUAGGAUUCAAGCCAGAUGCAAGACAAAAGAAAGAGUAACAAGAGAAGAAAUAAGAAAGGAGAAGAGCGCGAUUGAGCGGGGGAGAAAUCGAAUGGGAACCAAUGAUCUUCCCCCAUAUAUCGAAGACUUUUGUGUCUGGAGAGGUCAUUCACUCCGAGCAGAAGACAUCGGGAAAGGAAAUCUUGGAAGGAAUGAUGGAGAGUUUGGACAUCAACGCCACAUAUAAAGAUGGGACGGGGGUAGAGAAUUUGUUAAGCAUUCGCCCCUAUGAGUCGGGAUGUGUUUUGAAUAAUUGGACUGCGGAAGAGAUUCCUGUAGUCUUUAGAACUAACUCAGAGUAAUGUCUAAAACACACUUAUUGCUCUAGGCCUAGGAGUAACAAGUGUCAUUUUGUGAAAUAGGCUUAUGUUCGAAAUUGUUAUUUCAAUGAAAUGCAUCCUUUUGACUUAUUCCGUGCAAAUAUUCUUUUAUUCUUUCAUUCAUGAUCCUACCAAACAUAUCAUUGUUCUUAGAUUCUCUUGUUCUUUGCAUCUCCCUUCACACCUACAACAGGUCUCCAGAUAUCAAUGAUGCGAGUGACAUUGCUACUAAUUCAGAACCUCUUUUUGAGCGAGAUAUGUGUCUGGAGGGAUCCCAAGACUUUGAGGAUGACGGAGACUGUAACUUAUCCCCUGAUUUGUUAAGGAUGGUAGAACACGAGGAGAAACAGAUUCUACCCCACAAAGAGACCGUAGAAGUCGUAAACUUGGGAGAUGAACUAGAAAUGAGAGAAGUAAAGAUCAGAACUUGCAUCACCACAGAGACAAAACGGGACCUUAUUGAGUUACUCCAAGAGUUCAAUGAUGUCUUUGCAUGGUCAUAUCAGGAUAUGCUUGGGCUAAGUACUGACAUUGUGGUACACAGGCUCCCCAUUAAAGAAGAAUGCAAGCCAGUUCAGCAAAAGCUUCGAAGGAUGCGGCCCGAUGUUCUGUUAAAGAUAAAAGAGGAAGUCAAGAAGCAAUUUGAUGCUGGUUUCUUACAAGUAGUUAAGUACUCGGAAUGGGUAGACAACAUCGGCCCCGUCCCUAAAAAAGAUGGAAAUGUACGGAUGUGUGUAAACUACAGAGACUUAAACAAGGCCAGCCCAAAAGAUAAUUUCCCGUUGCCUCAUAUCGACACCUUAGUGGACAACACAGCAGGUUACUCACUUUUCUCCUUCAUGGAUGGUUUCUCAGGGUACAAUCAGAUCAAGAUACAUCCUGAAGACAUGAAUAAAACCACAUUUGUGACCAUGUGGCGAACCUUUUGCUAUAAAGUAAUGCCGUUCGGAUUGAAAAAUACGGGAGCAACAUAUCAGAGAGCCAUGGUAACCCUAUUUCAUGAUAUGAUGCAUAAAGAAAUUGAAGUCUACGUCGACGACAUGAUCGCCAAAUCUCGAACUGAAGAAGAGCAUGUGCAAGUCUUGAGGAAAUUAUUUUUGAGGUUGAGAAAAUUCCAGUUGAAACUCAAUCCCGCAAAAUGUACCUUCGGAGCCAGGUCAGGUAAACUGCUAGGAUUCGUGGUCAGUGGAAAAGGGAUUGGGAUUGACCCAGAUAAAGUCAAAGCCAUACAAGAGUUACAUCCACCACGUACUCAGAAAGAAGUUCGAGGAUUCCUAGGAAGACUAAAUUACAUCGCUCGGUUUACUUCACAACUAACCGAGAAAUGUAACCCCAUAUUCCGUCUCCCUAAGAAACACAACCCUGGUGGUUGGGACGAAAAAUGCCAGAAGACUUUCGAAAAAGUUAAGAAAUAUUUGUCUAAUGCCCCAGUGUUGACACCACCUAAUCCAGAUAAGCCACUGAUACUGUAUUUGACGGUAUUUGAAAAUUCUAUGGGAUGCGUGCUUGGCCAACACGAUGAAUCGGUAAGGAAAGAAAAAGUGAUAUAUUACCUCAGUAAAAAGUUUACUGAGUGUGAGACGAGAUACUCGUUCAUUGAAAAGUUGUGCUGUGCCUUGAUCUGGACAACCCGAAGACUGAGACAAUACAUGUUGUAUCACACAACUUGGCUAAUCUCUAGAAUGGACCCUCUGAAAUACUUGAUGGAGUCGACUGCCUUAAACGGGAGAAUGGCCCGAUGGCAAAUUCUACUUUCUAAAUUCGAUAUAGCCUAUGUGAACCAAAGGGCCGUAAAAGGAAGUGCGAUAGCAGAUUUCCUAGCCAGCAGAGCCCUAGAGGACUACGAGCCUCUGAACUUAGAUUUCCCAAAUGAAGAUCUAAUGUGCAUAACAACCGCAGAAGAAAACCCUCAAGAAAGUCACCCUUGGAAGCUAAACUUUGACGGAGCAUCAAAUGCCGUGGGUAACGGAAUCGGGGCAGUUCUGGUGUCCCCGAAUAGAGAUCAUUAUCCAUUCACUAGUAAAUUGGAUUUUGACUGCAUGAACAAUAUGGCAGAAUACGAAACAUGCAUCAUGGGAAUACGUGCAGCCAUAGAACGUAAAAUCAAGGUGUUAGAGGUAUAUGGAGAUUUUGUCCUAGUGAUUUAUCAACUCAAAGGUGAAUGGGAGACAAGAGACCCCAAAUUGAUCAAUUACCGGAGGUUGAUCCUUGAGUUAAUUAAAGAGUUUGAUAAUAUUGUCUUCUACUACCUCCCACGAGAAGAAAAUCAGAUGGCUGACGCCCUAGCAAAUUUAGCUUCUAUGAUUAAGGUGAACCAAUCAGAGGAUGUGAAACCAAUCCAAAUGAGCAUUUACGAGGCCCCGGCUCAUUGUUACAACCUGGAAGAAGAAGAGGAAAAUGAUGAUCACCCUUGGUACCAUGAUAUCCUACGAUAUGUGAAGAAUCGUGAGUACCCCCACCAAGCUACUGAGAACGACAAGAGAACGUUGAGAAGACUGGCCAGUGACUAUGUCUUAGAUGGGGAGAUCCUAUACAAAAGAAGGAAGGAUCAGGUACUAUUAAGAUGUGUAGACGCCAUUGAGGCUAAGAAAAUCAUGGAAGAAGUCCAUGAGGGCGUCUGUGGGACACACGCUAAUGGUUUUACAAUGGCCAGGCAAAUUAUGAGGUUCGGUUAUUAUUGGUCCACCAUGGAAGGAGACUGUAUUAACUACGCCAAAAGAUGUCAUAAGUGCCAAAUCUAUGGAGACAAGAUUAAUGUACCUCCCUCACCUCUGCAUGUCAUGACUUCGCCAUGGCCUUUCUCGAUGUGGGGCAUGGAUGUGAGUGGGCCAAUUUCGCCAAAAGCUUCAAAUGGGCAUCGUUUCAUCUUUGUGGUCAUCGAUUAUUUCACUAAAUGGGUGGAAGCCGCUUCAUAUGCCAAUGUCACUAAAUCAGCAGUUAGCAAGUUCCUGAAAAAGGAAAUCAUCUGUCGAUAUGGAAUGCCAGAAAGGAUCAUAUCUGAUAACGUAUUGAAUUUGAACAAUAACACGAUAGCGAAUGUCUGCAGUCAGUUCAAGAUCAGACACUACAACUCGUCAUCGUAUCGCCCGAAGAUGAACGGUGCAGUCGAAGCAGCCAAUAAGAACAUCAAGAAGAUUGUAGGAAAGAUGACAGAAACUUAUAAAGAUUGGUAUGAGAAGCUACCAUUCGCCCUCUAUGCUUAUCGAACGUCUAUCAGAACUUCUACUGGGGCAACGCCUUUCUCUUUAGUCUAUGGAAUGGAGGCAGUUUUACCUAUCGAAGGGAAUGUGAGCACAGUGGGAGAGGACAAACGACAAAGUAGAAGAUGGGUUUCUGAAAUAAGAACACCUCUGGAGAAAAUCUGGGAGGUGCUAGUUGAAAAAGGGUUGCUCUGUCAUCUUAACAGAGUAUUUGAGGGAAGGAAUACAAAAGAUCAAAGUUUUUGCGAAUUCCAUGGUAUUGAGGGGCACGACAUUCAAACUUGCCAAGAGUUCAGGAGAUUACUACAAAAUAUGAUGGACAAUAAAGAGAUUGGGAUCUUUUAUAAAGGCGAAGAGGCCAAUAGAGGAGAAAUAUGCGCCUCUGAACAUCAACCGUCAGGUUUCCCAUAUAGCGUCAACCGACCGUUAAUAAUUUAUUAUAACGCGAAGAAGGAGUCGGUGAAACCAAAAGUGAUAAUCGAGGUACCAUCUCCUUUCCCCUACAAGGACGAUAAAGCAGUACCAUGAAAAUAUGACGUCAAUAUCGUCACACUUGAAGAUGAAAAAACCAAACCUAUGACUGGAAGUGUUGGGGAAGUAGGUCAUUUCACUCGUAGUGGAAGAUGUUAUUCGAAAGAGGUCGAACCAGUGAUGAAGAACAGUGACUUGAAACAGAAAGAAAAAGCACCAAUGCGUGCGACCGAAGAUGAGUAUAAAACUAUGCCUGAGCAAGAAGCUAAAAAGCUUGUGAACGAGGAUGAAGCACAGGAAUUCUUAAAAUUUAUUAAGCACAGUGAGUACAACGUGGUGAAACAAUUGAGUAAGCAGCCAGCACGAAUUUUGGUAUUAUCUCUGCUGUUAAAUUUAGAACCGCACCAGAACGCCUUGUUAAAGGUGUUGAAUCAAGCUUACGUGGCAAACAAUAUAUUCGUUGAGAAGCUUGACAGAUGAGUGAAUAACCUAAACACAGAUAAUUUCAUUUCUUUUAGUGAUGAUGAAAUACCGCCCAAUGGUAGAGGCUCAGUGAAAGCAUUGCAUAUCACAACCCGUUGUAAGGGCUAUAUAAUACCGAACGUGCUCAUCGACAAUGGAUCGGCACUCAAUGUCAUGCCUUUGGCCACACUUUCCAAGAUUCCGAUGGAUUUGUCCUAUCUAAGGCCCUGCUAUUCUACAGUAAGGGCAUUCGAUGGAACAAGAUGAGAAGUCAUGGGAAAAAUCGAGAUCCCUCUAGAAGAGGGUCCCUAUAUAUACGACGUUGAGUUUCAAUUCAUGGACAUUACACCAUCAUACAAUUGUCUCUUGGGAAGACCUUGGAUCCAUUCUGCUGGAGCAGUCCCAUCAUCCCUCCAUCAAAAGGUGAAAUUCAUCAUGGAUGGCUGUUUGGUCAUCGUCGAGGGAAAAGAAGAUAUUGUAGCAUCUAUUUCUACCGAUGCACCAUACAUUGAAGUGAGUAAAGAUGCUUUAGAAUGUUCUUUCCGAUCCUUUGAAUUUGUCAAUGCCACAUUCGUCGCUGAGGGAAACAGAAUUCCCACGCCAAAACUGUCAAGAAAUACCAGGAUGGGUGUCAAGCUGACUGUAGGAAGGGGAGCUCGAGCGAGAAAAGGUUUAGGGAGAUAUCUGCAAGGAAUAGUCAGGGCUCUAAAGCUAGUACACCACAAGGCCCGAUACGAUUUGGGGUUCCAGCCAGACAUACGUCAAAGAAGAAAAAAAUGGAAGAAGGACCAAUAAAGAAGGACCGCAAGAACCUUAGGCCGAGAAUUGGAAUGGAAGCCAAUAACGUACCCUCCUUUGUCAAAAACAUUUACAUCUGCUGGGAUGAUAUACCUCGGACAGGAUAAUACACGAAGCACGCUGUUAUUAAUUGAAAGGGGUCUUCAGAAUGUCAGUAUAAAUGUCAUUGACAAAGGAAGUGGGGCAAUUAAAGAUGUUUCAAUGAUACGCCCUUUGUCCUCCUGGUUUCAUGUUGAACAAUCAGACUGCCGAGGACCUUCUUGUAGUUUAUAAGUCUUCAGAGUAAUGCUCAAACAUUAACCCUCUAUUGUGUUCUUAGAUAUAAUAGAAUUCUUUUAUAAGAGCUUGCAUUCACUUUUUAUCAUUUAAAUGAAUAUCAAUGAAGAUGCAUUUUGUCACGAUCUUUCGCAUUAUCACUAAUUUCAUGAUCAUCUUUUCAUUUCAUAGCCUAUUUGUACAUUUGCCUCAUACCAUGCCAUAACAUUUCGUUUGUUGGUUCCAAUACUGGGAUGCCCCUCUAUAGUUUCCUUUUCUAUUCAACUUUCAGGUGCUUAGAUAUCAAUAGCAUGAACAAACCCGUUACGAUUCCUGAAAUUGAUUUUGAGAAAGCUAUUUGUUUAGGAGAAUUUGAAGUCGAAGAAAAUGCUGAAGACUAUGUCUCGUCUCUUGACUUGCUAAGAAUGGUGAAGCAAGAGGAUAAACAGAUUUUGCCUCAUCAAGAAUUUGUUGAAACAAUAAACUUGGGAACUGAAGAAAAGAAGCAAGAAGUGAAGAUUGGGACCUCUAUUUCAGAGGACACCAGGCAUAAUUUGAUUGCUUUUCUCCUCGAGGACAAAAAUGUAUUCGCAUGGUCAUAUCAGGAAAUGCCAGGAUUGGAUAAAAAUGUAGUGGUCCAUAAGCCUCCAUUAAAGCCAGAAUGCAAACCCAUUCAACAAAAGCUACGACGGAUGAGACCCGAGAUGUUAUUGAAAAUAAAAAAGGAAGUCAAGAAGCAAUUCAAUGCUGGCUUCCUACAAGCAUCCAAAUAUCCAGAAUGGGUGGCUAACAUAGUCCUGGUACCAAAGGAAGAUGGCAAAGUACGAAUAUGUGUGGAUUAUCGUGACCUGAAUCGAGCAAGUCCUAAAGAUAAUUUUCCCUUACCACAUAUUGAUACGUUGGUGGAUAACACAGCAAAGCAUUCAUUGUUUUCUUUCAUGGAUGGAUUCUCGGGGUAUAAUCAGAUCAAUAUGGCCCCUGAGGAUAUUGAGAAAACUACUUUCAUAACAAUGUGGGGAACAUUCUGCUACAAGGUGAUGCCGUUCAGAUUAAAGAAUGCCGGGGCAACAUAUCAGAGGGCUAUGGUAACAUUAUUCCAUGACAUGAUGCAUAAAGAAAUAGAGGUCUACGUCGACGAUAUGAUUGCUAAAUCCCGAGGGGAAGAAGAGCAUGUAGCGAACCUGAAGAAGUUGUUCGACAGACUGAGAAAGUUUCAGCUAAAGCUCAAUCCGGCCAAAUGUACAUUUAGGGUUACCUCGGGAAAGUUGCUAGGCUUCAUUGUCAGUGAAAGAGGUAUUGAGGUUGAUCCAGAUAAAAUAAAAGCCAUUCAAGAGUUACUACCCCUGUGCUCGCAAAAGGAAGUUAGAGGAUUUUUAGGGAGAUUAAACUACAUCGUCCGAUUUAUCACUCAACUUACCAACCAAUGCGAACCAAUCUUUCGACUCCUUCGAAAACAUAAUCCCGGAUAAUGGAAUGAGGAAUGCCAAGUGGCUUUUGACAAGAUAAAACGGUAUUUGUCUAAUCCCCCGGUACUAGUACCGCCAAUUCCAGGCAGACCAUUAAUUUUGCAUCUGACAGUGUUCGAAAAUUCAAUGGGUUGUGUAUUGGGGCAACAUGACGAGUCAGGAAAGAAAGAAAAUGUGAUUUACUACCUCAACAAAAAGUUCACUGAAUAUGAGGCAAAGUAUUCGUCCAUAGAAAAAUACUGUUGCGCUCUGGUUUGUGUAGCUCGGAGACUCAGGCAAUAUAUGUUGUAUCAUACGACAUGGCUAAUUUUAAAGUUAGACCCAAUAAAGUACAUGAUGGAAUCACCUGCACUCUCAGGAAGAAUGUCACGAUGGCAGAUCCUUUAUUCGGAAUACGACAUUGCCUAUGUAAGUCAGAAGUCGAUAAAAGGGAGCGCAAUAGCUGACUUCUUAGCAACUCGAAUAAAAGGGAAUACGAGCCAUUGAGAUUUGAUUUCCCAGAUGAAGACUUGAUGUUCAUUACAAAAAAAAGAAUGUGAGUCAUCAAAAGAAAAGUCAUGGAAGAUGAGCUUUGAUGGUGCAUCGAAUGCAUUGGGGCAUGGGAUUGGAGUAGUCUUAGUAUCAUCAGAAGGGAACCAUUAUCCGUUCACUGCCAGGCUAAAUUUCUUCUGCACCAAUAACAUAGCGGAAUAUGAGGCCUGUAUCAUGGGACUUCGUGCAGCAAUUGAAUGAAACAUAUAAACUUUAGAGGUAUACGGAGACUAAGCAUUGGUGAUUUAUCAGAUCCGUGGAGAUUGGGAAGUAAGGGAUUCAAAAUUAGUCAAAUACAGUGAUCUCGUGGCAGGGUUGAUUAAAGAAUUCAAAGAAAUAACUUUUAAUUACCUCCCACAAGAAGAAAACCAGUUAGCUGAUACCCUGGCCACUUUGGCUUCAAUGUUUAAAGCAAACAGAGAAACAGAAAUAAUGCCUCUUCAAAUGAGCAUAUAUGAAGUCCCUGCACAUUGUUUCAGCAUUGAAAAAGAGCCAGACGGGCGGCCGUGGUUUCAUGAUAUCUUAGAAUACAUCAAAAAUCAAAGGUAUCCCGAGCAAGCAAAUGAGAACGACAAAAGAAUAAUUAGAAGAAUGGCAACGAGAUUUGUUCUUGAUGGGGAUAUCCUGUAUAAAAGAGGAAAAAAUCAAGUGCUCUUGAGAUGCGUGGAUGCUGUUGAAGCUAGAAAAAUACUUGAAGAUGUCCAUGAGGGAAUCUGUGGGACACAUGCCAAUGGUUUCACUAUGGCCAGGAAGAUUAUGAGACUAGGUUGUUACUGGCUGACGAUGGAAAGCGACUGCAUUAGUUUUACAAGAAAAUGCCACAAAUGUCAAAUUUAUGGCGAUAGGAUUCAUGUAGCCCCUUCGCCCCUUCAUGUCAUGACUUCUCCGUGGCCUUUUUCUAUGUGAGGCAUGGACGUUAUAGGGCUAAUCUCCCUAAAAGCUUCUAAUGGACACCGAUUCAUUUUUGUGGUCAUUGAUUACUUCACAAAAUGAAUAGAAGCCGCUUCGCUUGCCAAUGUGACGAAGACUACAGUUUGUAGGUUUUUGAAAAAGGAAAUCAUUUGUCGAUAUGAUUUACCUGAAAGAAUCAUUUCAGAUAACGCCAUGAAUCUGAACAACAAGAUGAUGAAGGAGGUGUGUGAACAAUUCCAAAUAAAGCAUCAUAACUCAUCACCCUAUCGCCUGAAAAUAAAUGGGGCUGUUGAAGCGGCCAAUAAGAAUAUUAAGAAGAUUAUUGGGAAAAUGACUGAGACAGAUAAAGACUGGCACGAGAAGCUACCAUUUACUUUGUAUGCAUAUCGCACAUCUGUGUAGACAUCUACGGGAGCAACUCCUUUCUCUCAGGUCUAUGGAAUGGAAGCUGUGCUACCCAUCGAAGUUGAGAUCCCCUCUCUACGAGUCUUAAUGGAAUCAAAACUAGAAGAAGCAGAAUGGGUUCGAGCUUGAUAUGACCAAUUAAACCUUAUUGAAGAAAAACGUCUGAAGGCAAUCUUCCAUGGACAGAUGUACCAGAAAAGAAUGAUCGCAGCCCAUGAUAAGAAAGUACGGCCAAGAGAAUUCCACGAAGGAGAACUCGUGCUGAGAAAGAUUCUCCCAAUACAAAAAGACUUCCGAGAAAAAUGGGCACCAAAUUGGGAAGGUCCAUCCAUCGUAAAGAAGGCAUUCUCGGGCGGAGCUUUGAUUCUCACCGAGAUGGAUGGGAAGGAGUUACCGAAUCCAGUGAACUCAGAUGCUGUAAAGAAAUAUUAUGCUUGAAAAAGAAAACCAAGAUGAAAACCCGAAAAGGACAUCUUUUAAAAAAAAGAGAAAAAGAAAAAAGAAAAAAAGAAAAAGAGGGAUCAAGGUGAAAACCCGAAAAUGGCGUCUUGAUUAAACACAAAAGAUUAGGAUGAAAACCCGAAAGGGCAUUCUAUUGAAGCAAACCCGGGCUUAAAGAACAAGGCGUUUCGAACGGUGGGUCAAACAACGAGACUACAGUAUUUGAAGCAUUUAUGAAAGCUCAAAAUCUUCUAUGCAAGAAGCCAUGCUCGAAAAGAUUCUAGAUGAAAGAACGUGGAAUAGUUCAUGUGUUGAAUAUCUAGAACAUUUGUAUCCGUUGAAUGCGAUCCCUUUUCUCUUUAUGACACUUUUUACUAUCAUUGAUUAACUUUCUUUGUUUGCUACAUUUGAAUUAAAUAAAUGUGGGGUAGCCUUUUUGCCCCUACCUAACCAUUUUCAUGCAUCUCAUUAUGUGUUUAUUUACAUGAUAAAUAGUGAAAUGACAUACUCUAAACAAAAGAAAUGUUAAGCAUUACCUGAAUAAAAAUUUGACAAAUACAAGAGCCUCAAAGCAAGGACAAAGUUCGACCAGGGACAAAAGAGUGAUAUCUGAGAAACACAGAUUAAUCGUGAAACUUGGAGACGGGUACAAAGCCUAAAGAGAAAGUCAAGAGUCAAAGCAACGAACGCAGAUCAAAAAAAAUCGUGAUGAAAAAGGGGCAUACGACAAACAUGCCUAAGGCGCAUUGCAUAAUCAUGUAGGUAUAAAGGCAUUUAAGACAAACAUGUGCAUAUCAUGAUAACAUCGUGCAUGACAUAUACAGGUACUCUAGCAGAGCAAGAAGAUAUGAUAAUAGCUGCACUGAAUCAAAGGAAAAGACGCCUGAGUUCUACCAAAUGACAGGUUUUGGUAUUUUGAUGUUUUAAUUCAUGCUUUCAAAAAUCAACUCAUAUUGCGAGAGGUGAGUUGAGCCUUUUAAUUUCUGCUUUUAAUUUAUACUUUCCAAAAAUCAACUCAUAUUGCGAGAGGUGAGUUGAGCCUCGGGGCACGCUGAGGUAUUUUCAAUUUCUGUUUUCAGUUUUUGUUUUUCAAAAAAUCAACUCAUAUUGCGAGAGGUGAGUUGAACCUUUUAAUUUCUGUUUUUUUUAAAAUCAACUCAUAUUGCGAAAGGUGAGUUGAGCCUCGGGGCACGCUGAGGUAUUUUCAACUUCUGUUUUCAGUUUCUGUUUUUCAAAAAAUCAACUCAUAUUGCGAGAGGUGAGUUGAACCUUUUAAUUUCUGUUUUUUAAAAAUCAACUCAUAUUGCGAGAGGUGAGUUGAGCCUCGGGGCACGCUGAGGUAUUUUCAAUUUCUAUUUUCAGUUUCUGUUUUUCAUAAAAUCAACUCAUAUUGCGAGAGGUGAGUUGAACUUUUUAUGUAACGCCCCAAUUUUCGGGAAUUCUGUGAAUGUUGGCAUAGGUUUAAUUAUGUUAGUGGGCCUCUAGAAGGCCCAAGCUUAAGAUAGAACCCAGCAAUUUUAGUUAAUUUUUGUUCCAUAAGAAAAAAAGGGGGUGAAAUUAUGAAAUAGGACCUAUGUGAAAAAUGUUUGAAAAUGAUAUAGGCUAAAUUGAAGUGGCCAAAUAAAUAGGAGUGCAAAAUAGGAGGAUUUGCAUGACAAACCUCCCAUUUUACAUGAAGUGGCCAGCCAUCAUGUUGCUGUAGACAAUAUGAGCACUUGAUAUCCAUAAUUCAUGGUACAAAUUGAUAAUGGGUUAGGUAAAUGUUCCAUGAUAAUGGGUUAGGUAAAUAUUCCAUGAUAAUGGGUUAGGUAAAUGUUCCAUGAUAAUGGUUUAGGUAAAUGUUCCAUGAUGGGCAUUUCAUGUCUUUUGUAUUAAAGAAUUAAAUGGAUGAAAUAUGAAAUUUUAUUAAAAGAAAAAGGGGUGAAAAGAACAAAGUUUUGUCCAUCUUUGUUCAUCAUAGCCGAAAGUUAGAGAAGAGAAAGGAGAGGAGAAAGCUUUUGAGUAUUCGGUCAUUAGGAGGAGGAAAAUUGAAGGUAAGUUCUUGGUACCUUGCUUCUAUCUUGAUGUUCAUGAGUUCUUCUUGAUUCUACCUUAACUCCUGAAGCAUAUUUUGGUUUUUAGUUGUGUUUUGAGCAUUUAGUCAUGAAUUAAAAUGAAGGAAAUGGUUGUUGUUUCAUGUUCUUUUGAUGAAAAAUAGAAGAUAGGUGAAGUUGAGCCAAACAAAUGAGCAUGCAUGUGCCUUAGAUGCUAAGGGGAAAAAUCGGCUAACAUGUUGUGCUUUAAAAUGAUGAAAUGGAGAUUAUACUUAAGUAAAAUCAUAGAUAUGUGAUGAUUGAUUGGUGAUAUACAUGUUUAAAUAACAAGCAUGCAAGUUAGGUGUGAAAGAGUGAUUUGGUAAUAAAUCUGCUUGGGACAGCAGCAGUAACGUGACUUUGGAAAAUCACCAUAAAUUGUGGGAGAUGAGUUAGAAGCUGCAUAAGUUAUGUAAUUAAAGCUUAAUGAGUCUAGUUUCAAAUAGAAUAAAUGAGAACAUAUUUUGAAUUCUGUACAAUGAGAAAUUUGAUUCGUAAUGAAGAGUGGUUAGAUUAGUCAAACAGUGAAACAUGGGAAACUUUAAGAAAAAUCUGGUAUUGAUUGGCGAAACCAAAAAUUCUGAAAAUUUUAUGGAUAGAAGAUAUAUGAGUCUAUUUUCAGGGAAAAUUAACGACACUUGAUUUGCAGUUUCAUAGCUCCAGUUAUAAAUGAUUUAGUGACUGUUGCUCAGGAAAACAGCUUGCAGUGAAAUUAUGAUUAUGUGGUAAACAUUGACAAAAAAUUGUUAAUGAGUUGCUUAUUGAUUUCUUAUAAGCUUACUAUGAUCUGUAGGUGUGGUUGGCCGAAUAUUGUAAGGGGUUAAUACGUAGUUUGUAUUUGAAUAGUUAGAUUAACGUGUUAGUAGUCCAAUUGUAGGCGGUUCGCGUGUGGAUCUCGUCAGCAUAUCGUCGCAAACAGGUGUGUAACUAACACCCUCUUUCUUAGUCUAGAUCGGCAAAAGUCGAAAUGUCGAAAUGCCGAAAAUUGGUAUUUUGUAGAUUUGUGAGUGUGCGAAUGCUCGAGAGGUAAAUCGAUUAAUGUUUUUGGUAAGCUGCAAUGUUUGGACUGCAAAGUGCAUGAUUUCUGUGCCCUCGAUAUUUUUGGGCUUAAUGGGCCAAAAUUGUAAUGAUGGGCCAACGGGCCCAAUUCGGUAAGAACCCUCGGUAGUGAUUCUGUUAGUACGUGAAAGGUAGGAAUAUGCAUGAAAAACCCUAAAAUAGAUAAAAUACUGAAAUACCUUUAAAAGUGGAAAAUUUACAGUUUUACCCCUAGGAGAUAAAUUAUCGAAAUACCCCUAGGGUUAAAUUGACCUAAAUGCAUGUUUGACUGUUGUUAUUUACUGCAUGCCAUGUUGUUAUUAUCUGAUGCAUGGGAUUGGGAUAUUGACGGAGGAAGUACUGAAAGUGGCUUGUCCAUGUAUUGGAGGCUUUGCUUCAAUUUACUGUUAACUGAGCAGCAAGGCUGCAACUGUGGAGUGUUGGGCUGGGUGGGUUGAGCUAUUCCUCACAUGGAGUGUAUAGCUGGUACGGGUGGAGUGUAGUGGUUGGUGGGUUGAGUAGUCUCCCCAAAUGGGCUUGCAUAUGUUUAUUGAUGUUGCAUGUAUUUUGAAAUGGGCCUAUGGGCCAUACUGUUAUCUUAAUAAGGGGCUAAGGCCCAGUUUAUUGUAAUCUGAAAAGGGCUCUGGCCCAGUACCACUAUUACCUGAAUGGGCUUAGACCCAAUGGGCUUGAGCUGACUUGGGCUUUGAAUGGGUUUUCCUUACACACUGAGUUUCCCCAAACUCACCCCUUCUUUAACCUUGCAGGUGAGCCUUGAUGUGGGUGACUUGGAGCCGGAAGGGAUUCAAAGUGGCCAUGGUGAAUACUUUUGGGUUGGAAAAAGAGACUGGUUUUCUUAAGUUAUUUUUAAUUACUAUUUAAUUUUUGGGUUGUAAUAAGGCCAUUUUAACUUUAUUUUCUUCUUUGAUUUUCUGGGAUUAUAUUAUUUUAAACAACUUUAAAUUGAUGGAUACUAAUUCAAAUGGGCUAGACUUAGGGCGUGAUUUCAAAACGAUACUUGUUUUUUUUAAAUAACACGACGUCACGAAUAUUCGAUUUACCAAAGAUAAUCACUCAAAGAAAUUUCAACUUGUUAUAACCAAGUGUGGCAAUGGAUGUGGGCAUGUCUAGGAUUGGAUCCAAUCAGAGAGCUUGGUACUUAAGCAGCCUUCAUGGCUCACAUCCUCUGUUAUGGAUACCUACCUGGUGUCCAGCUUCCAUUCACUUAGUUAGUUUGACAAAAGUCGGCUUUUUAAAACACUAAAAAGGGAACGCGGGUUUUUGACUUCAAAGUGGCACGUCGGAUUCGGCCUUAACGUCUGGGCUGGGUUUGGGGUGCUACAUUUUAAUUUCUAUUUUUUAAAAAUCAACUCAUAUUGUGAGAGGUGAGUUGAGCCUCGGGCAUGCUGAGGUAUUUUCAAUUCCUGUUUUCAGUUUCUGUUUUUUUAAAAAAUCAACUCAUAUUGCGAGAGGUGAGUUGAACCUUUUAAUUUCUGUUUUUCAAAAAUCAACUCAUAUUGCGAGAGGUGAGUUGAGCCUUGGCCAUGCUGAGGUAUUUCCAAUUUCUGUUUUAAUUCAUGUUUUCAAAAAUCAACUCAUAUUGCGAGAGGUGAGUUGAGCCUUUUAAUUUCUGUUUUUCAAAAAAAUCAACUCAUAUUGCGAGAGGUGAGUUGAGCCUUUUAAUUUCUAUUUUUCAAAAUCUACUUUUCAAACUAAGUUUCAAAAAGACCAAUUCAUAUUGCGAGAGGUGAGUUGAGCGUGGGCUCACGUGAUGAGCUAUUUUCAGUUUCUGUUUUUUAGUUUAUGUUAUUUAAAGAGUCAAUACAUAUUGUGAGAAAUGAGUUGAGCUCAAGAUCAUAUGCCGAGUAAAGAAUAAAGAUUGAAGCCGGUGGAAGACGUCAGAUUAAGACUCCCUGAAGUUGCAGUGGAGCAGGUCAAAGUUGCAAGUCUUGUUUCUCUGAAGUUGCAGUGGAGCUGAUCAAGGGUAUCGGAUCUUGCCUUUCCAAAGUUAUAGAAGAGAAGACCACAAACCUCAUCUCACUGAAGUGAUAGAAGAGCAGAUUGAAGCUGUAAAUCUUAUCUUUAUGAAGUUACAAUGAAGCAGAUCAAAGCCACAAAUCUCAUAUUCUUGAAGUUACAUUGAAGUAGAUUGAAGCUACAAGGCAUAUAUCAGAAGAUGCAAUGGACCAAAGCCACAAGACACGAUGGACUGGAAGGAGACUACCUGAACAAGAAGAGCACCAAAGAAGUCAAGACUCAGCAAGAUCAGGAAAAAUUGGCCUUUCAUUAUGUCUUUGCUAUAUUCUCGUUACACGACAAUAAGCAAAGAGGGACAGCUGUUACAGACCAAUUUUACCCACAAGCCCAAUUGAACUCACAACCCAAUACAUUACCUAAAUCCCUUAACCUAUUCCUAAAUACUAACCCAAACCCCAAAUACAUUUUAAACCCAUCAGCCCGCUUAUAUCAAACCCAAUACAAUAAACCCAAAACCCAAUAACCCUUAGCCCAAUCAGAAAAGAACAAACCCUAGCUCCCACUUGCCCCCUCACUCAGCGCCGUAACUACCCUCCCCACCUUCUGACACUACGUCACCGACGUCAGCCCACCGGCCACCAACUCUGCAGCACCGUUCAACCACCCUGCAAGCAGAACGACAAGACAUAAAUUAUAAAGAAACUUUACAGAGGGUUAUAAAAAAACCGAAUGAAAAUUGUAAUAGGGGGAAUUUUGCUAUCAAUACAAAAAGGGGAUUUUUUGUUUUCAUCAAUACUAGCAGAUUAAAACCAAAAACAGUGGUCUCAAUAAGAUAAAAGUAAGAAAAUAGCAUUGAGCACAAACCCAAAAUCUCAGAAAACUGAAACUGAAAGCUAAAGGUAACUUCUUUUCUUUUUUUCUUUUUAGCCGAAUCCUCCAUCUAUAUUCGUAUACACAUAAAUAUAUAAUAAAUAAGAAAGGAACACUUCUUAAAAAGGUAAAAAAGGGGAAGUUUUCAUACCUCCGACCACCGUGCAUGGCGGUCGCCGGCGACGGAAGCGCGAUGGGGCGAUGACCGGACUAGGACCGGCGCUGGAGCCCCAAUAGAGAAAAAAAUGAGCUCCAUUUUCUUUUUUUUUCUUCAAC
rnacentral:lncRNA from 1 species